rnacentral:tRNA from 1 species
GGGGCUGUAGCUUAGUGGCAGAGUACUUGCACAGCACAAUGAGGUACUGGGUUCAAUCCACAGCAGCACCU